rnacentral:rRNA from 1 species
CCUACGGGUGGCAGCAGUGGGGAAUAUUGCGCAAUGGGCGAAAGCCUGACGCAGCGACGCCGCGUGAGGGAUGAAGGCCUUCGGAUCGUAAACUUCUGUCAGCGGGGAGGAACGGUCACUGUGCUAAUCAGCAGUGAAUUGACGGUACCUGCAAAGGAAGCACCGGCUAACUCCGUGCCAGCAGCCGCGGUAAUACGGAGGGUGCGAGCGUUAAUCGGAAUUACUGGGCGUAAAGCGCUCGUAGGCGGUAUGUCAAGUCACGGGUGAAAUCCCCGCGCUCAACGUGGGAACUGCCUUUGAAACUGGCAAGCUGGAGUGUGUGAGAGGAUAGUGGAAUUCCAGGUGUAGGAGUGAAAUGCGUAGAUAUCUGGAGGAACAUCAGUGGCGAAGGCGACUAUCUGGCACAUAACUGACGCUGAGGAGCGAAAGCGUGGGUAGCAAACAGGAUUAGAUACCCUAGUAGUC